rnacentral:rRNA from 1 species
GACGAAGGUGGCAAGCGUUGUUCGGAUUCACUGGGCAUAAAGGGCGCGUAGGCGGUUCGGUAAGCGGCGUGUGAAAGCCCCUGGCUCAACCAGGGAAGUGCACGCCGGACUGCCGUUCUAGAGGGUGGUAGGGGGGACUGGAACUCUCGGUGGAGCGGUGAAAUGCGUAGAUAUCGAGAGGAACACCGGUGGCGAAGGCGAGUCCCUGGUCCACUUCUGACGCUGAGGCGCGAAAGCGUGGGUAGCAAACAGG